CAGCACACAAAUUUUACUGUUGUCCCUGGAAACUGCAGAGCUAAUUCCCUGCGCAGUUCACCUAAAAUGUAUCUCCCAGUGUCCAGUUUGGUUUUAUCUGAUGAAGCGAAGCAGAGAAAAUAGAAUGCUGCUAUAUGGAGAAUGGAAGUUGGAGAACAAGCAUGAACGCAGAGAGGUCAGUGAAGAAGCCAUUGCUGUAAUCCAGAAUGUAGGGUCUUACUCUGUCACCCAGCCUGCAGUGGUAUAAACACAGCUGACUGAAGCUUCAAACUCCUGGACUCAAGUUAUUCUUCUACUUGUUCUUCCUGAGUAUCUGGGACCACGGGCAUAUGCCACCAUGCCUGGGUAAUUUUUAUUUAUUUAUUCAUUUAUUUUUAGUGUUGAGGUCUCACUAUAUCCAGAAAGAUCUCAAACUCCUGGACUCAAGCAAUCUACCUGCCUUUACUCCUUAAGUGCUAAGAUUAUAGAUAGGCAUGGGCCAUGACACUUAGCCAUUCCAGCUUUUAAAAAU
rnacentral:lncRNA from 13 species